rnacentral:tRNA from 1 species
GGGGAUGUAGCACAGUGGUGCCGCGCCUGUCUGGCAAGCACAAGGCCCUGAGUUUGAUCCCCAGUACCCCCC